AAGGUCGAUGAUGACGAGCUCAAAGGAUAUAUCCUAGCUGGUCUUGAUGGCGAGUAUACCUCCCUUGUUUCCUCCAUCAAUGUGGUUCCCACAACUACUCUGAAUGACAUGUGUUCCCAGCUCCAGGCCUUUGAUC